GAUGAACGCUGGCGGCGUGCCUAAUACAUGCAAGUCGAGCGAACAGACGAGGAGCUUGCUCCUCUGACGUUAGCGGCGGACGGGUGAGUAACACGUGGAUAACCUACCUAUAAGACUGGGAUAACUUCGGGAAACCGGAGCUAAUACUGGAUAACAUGUUGAACCGCAUGGUUCAACAGUGAAAGACGGUCUUGCUGUCACUUAUAGAUGGAUCCGCGCCGCAUUAGCUAGUUGGUAAGGUAACGGCUUACCAAGGCAACGAUGCGUAGCCGACCUGAGAGGGUGAUCGGCCACACUGGAACUGAGACACGGUCCAGACUCCUACGGGAGGCAGCAGUAGGGAAUCUUCCGCAAAGGGCGAAAGCCUGACGGAGCAACGCCGCGUGAGUGAAGAAGGUCUUCGGAUCGUAAAACUCUGUUAUUAGGGAAGAACAAAUGUGUAAGUAACUAUGCACGUCUUGACGGUACCUAAUCAGAAAGCCACGGCUAACUACGUG
rnacentral:rRNA from 1 species